GAUGAACGCUGGCGGCGUGCCUAAUACAUGCAAGUCGAGCGAACGGACGAGAAGCUUGCUUCUCUGAUGUUAGCGGCGGACGGGCGAGUAACACGUGGAUAACCUACCUAUAUGACUGGGAUAAUUUCGGGAAACCGUAGCUAAUACCGGAUAAUAUUUUGAACCGCAUGGUUCAAAAGUGAAAGACGGUCUUGCUGUCACUUAUAGAUGGAUCCGCGCUGCAUUAGCUAGUUGGUAAGGUAACGGCUUACCAAGGCAACGAUGCAUAGCCGACCUGAGAGGGUGAUCGGCCACACUGGAACUGAGACACGGUCCAGACUCCUACGGGAGGCAGCAGUAGGGAAUCUUCCGCAAUGGGCGAAAGCCUGACGGAGCAACGCCGCGUGAGUGAUGAAGGUCUUCGGAUCGUAAAACUCUGUUAUUAGGGAAGAACAUAUGUGGAAGUAACUGUGCACAUCUUGACGGUACCUAAUCAGAAAGCCACGGCUAACUACGUG
rnacentral:rRNA from 1 species